rnacentral:lncRNA from 1 species
GUUGGCCUCUAUUGUUUGCAAAUGAGUGCAGCAGUCUGUCUCCUUGGGUUUCUUUUCCAUUUUGGACGUGUGUGGCUUGACUUUGAAUUCAUCUCUCUUUGAUGUGAAGAUCGACCUUGAUGUACAUGUACAUGUGUAAUAACCUUGUCAUGCGUUGUGUGUGUUUGGAUUUCAGCUUGGCUGUGGCCUAGCGCCUGGGAGUCCUCGUCGCCUAGCCAGCAACGAACGAACGACCGCAAGUCCGUCGAUAAAACUUAAGACUUCCGGGCACAGAGGACGUUACAUCCAUUUGAAGAAUGCCUCAUAAAACAAACUGCACGCUCCCAGCGGACCAGACAAACACUGUCACCGUCGUCAACAGCGUCGACAGCGCCAUCAGGCCACAAAAUAGUUGUGACCGCUUACCACUGCCAGAAGUGUCGGAAGGGACUCGUGAAAAUACGCUGGACCGCAGAAGCACAAAUCACGUAGCCGAUGCACCGAAGAAACCAUGGGGGCCCUUUUUCCGUAGUAGAGCAGAGUUUCUGGAACUGCAUCUUGUGUGAAGAAUUAGGGACGCAAUUCAGUGCCAAAUCAGUCUUUGCCAAAAUAAACGAAGAAGUGCCCUUUGGAGGCGACUGAUCAGAAACCUGCUAAAUACUUAUAACGGAGUCCUCCAAUACUGUGAAAACAAAACUUUCCCGAGCUGUGAGAUGGUCUUGUGGUGAUGGGCACCGGGUUGCACUGUUCCAGUUUGUAUCGCUCUCAGGGGAAAAGCUCACACUGUUGAAUUUCAUGUACUUUUGUUAUAACAUUACACAUGUUUACUGAGCUAACCCUUCAGUUUUCUGGCCAACGCGGCAUUUCAACCUUUUUUUUUCAAAAGAUUAGUAUCCGUUUUAGUCCCUUUUUACAUUAAUUAUGUUAGUUGGUUUGCUUGUGAAGGCUUUUUGGCUUUCGUCAAACUCCUCUUUGAAUGAUACUUUAACGUUUUAACGUUUUCGGCUCUGCACCCUUGAUUUCAAAUCGCUUAUAUAACAUACCUCUUGCUCGUCCCUACCGCUCUUAAGCUCACAGAACGCAGGAACUUACGGCAAAUGCGUUCCACAAUAUUAUUGCUUGUUAAGGAAAUACUCAUGUAUGCGUACAAGUAAAUCGCAUGGACACGCAAAGCAUUGUGGCUUACUGACUGUCCUAAUCCAUACAUGUACAUUAAUGCGGAUGUUGACAAUGUUGCAUAAACACUGCCUAUUGAGUACUCGACAAACAUUACGCCAUGCAUUUGCGCUCUCCCCCUGUAGGACAGUGGGGAAGAGCGACAAAUACCUCCAGAUUUCCAGUUUUUGAGAGGGGAAAUAAUUGGUUAUUUAACCCCAUUAAAGCUCUUGAAUUCAAGGGCGGAUCCAGGGGCCAACGGGACCACCGCCCAAAAAAUAUCAAAAUUGUUUUUUAGAAUUGAUUGAGGAGCUCCCAUCAAAGUAUGGACACUGGUGUGUUUUUAACAUCAGCUAUAACCAUGUUUGGCUUUUCAUGAUAACCUUGGCAAACAUUGCACGAUGUGUGUGGUGGGGCAAGGGUGAAAUGCGAGGUCCCUGUAACAAAGGAGUUCACUUUUUCGUCUUUGAAAAAUAACAAGGAAAAAACAUUUUGGGAGAACCGUUUCACUUCCCUUCCUUAUACGUAAAAGCACGUACCGUUAUUGUACAUGUAUAAAGCCCCUAAAUUUAUCCUCACCACGCAGAAAGACCAUAAAAAUUAAAUGAAAAAAAAAUCCAAAUUUUUGCCCCCCAAAAAGGUUUCCCCCCUCCCCCAAUUUGGAUCUGGAUCCGCCCCUGCCUGACUGCAAAGGUAUAUAUAUGUCUUUUAGGGCGUGGAUGCUGGCUCCAUAUGGAGUCAAAUGCCACUGUUUUUUUGUAAUUACUUUGUAUGCCUAUAGUUUGAAUCGGUAAUCGGUAUAGUUUGAAUUGGUAAUCAGAAUUAGAAGCCAUUACUGCGGUGGCACAACGCUCGUGGACAGGUGGUACGCGCGCGUUACAAGCCUCUUCGACCAAAAGGGUAUCGUGAUUUGCCAAAUGGACGUGCGCGUCAGACUGAAGAAUUUACAAACAGUUGAAAAGAACUAUGGAAGCAGGACAGAAAACAGGAUUUUUAUUACGGAGUUUUGUUCCUUCGUUCUUCUUCUUUUUUCUUUCUUAAAAGCAACGAAAAGUAAAGCUGUAUGACGUAAAGAACAAUAAUUAUAUGUUGAGACAUGUAGCACCCUGGCAUGUAAUACAUAAGGCACAUUGUACCGGGCACAAAGAGCUUUUUCUCUUUAUACUGCAUGUUUGCACCUCAAUUUAUUCAAACCGCAGGUCUAUACAACAUAACACCUUUGAAGUUUAUACAUUAAAGAAAAAUUCUCCAAAUUUUAAAUUAUUUAUUCGCCAAUUAAUUGUUACAUAAUAAAAUGCAUGUUUCCAGAUUUGACAUAUAUGUAUACUACAGAGCCUGAGAGAGUAAAAGAAGAGCAGUAUUUUACAUUAAAGAGUUAUAUACAACUUAAAUGAGCAUGGACAUUGAAAAUAAGCAUAACUGACCAAACAAACUGACGAUCUCACACUUAGGCAUAAUUGAGGACAUUAUGAAUUGGCAAGAUCACUUUGAUUUUGCUCAUGAAAUCAAAAUAAAAAACUUUGUUCAAAGUUUGCUUCAAAAAUGAGCAACAGUAUCCGUUAUAAAAGAAAUCAAAUAAUAACAGGUUAAUAGAGUCAACAAAACCCUACUUGAACUGUUCCCUGACACAACCUUAUCAUGGACGCGCUCUUGCAGGCAGUGUUCUGAACAAAUACGGCAUCAUGGCCUCCACAAGUUAUUUGUCUUUGCCCAGUGAAUAUGCCUCUUCAGUCAUCAAGUGUUUGUUUCUUGAAAUUCUACAAAUAAAGAUAAAUAAAUCAUGUCAUUGAAAAAACUUUGAGCGGGUAAACUAAAUAGUUUCCAAUAAAAAGAUCCUACUACUAAUAGCGACGUAUAUAGGUCCCAAGAUUUGACUGGAAACUGUUCGCUGAAAAAAGGUUUAGGCCCUAUAUAUUUUGUCUGGACAACAAGUGAUAUUGUCAAAACCACACAAAUAAAAUUCCCGCUAUAUUUAUGCCAAGUACAGUACAUGUCAUUCAAAAUCACAUUCACAUUGCUUUGGCUUGUUGAGAUCGGUAUGAUUUUUGCUUUAAAAACCUGAACUUAAGACUGAAAGGCAGGUCCAGCUGCGUUAUUAACAGUUAUUAACAGUCCGGACCGAGGGAAUCCAUUUGCUGUGCAAAAGCGAACAAUUUUUCAGCAAUUUUUCCCUUUAAAAAGAGAGAGAAUUAAGAGCAUCAAAUUCUUCGGCCAGACUAAUUUCCCCGUGCGCAGCAUACGUGUCGCGCGCGCGGUCUGGUGUGAUGACCGCAAUUUAAACUUUCAAACUCUCCCCGAUGAAGGAGAUCAGUGGUGCCACCUUAGUUAUUGCGUCUAAUCGGAUUAGCCCAUAGUUUGUAAUACUUAUACAUAUAGAUGUACAGUACUUCGCAGAUCAAAGUUAACUCUGUGAAUUGGGAUGUGAAAUGUAAAAAAAAAUUUACUUUUCUUGUUCACAUUCUUAUUUCAUAAGGUGUGAAAAUAGUUUCCCACUUGUAUGAAAAGGCGUCAAAAUCCAUAUCUUUUCCCGCUUGUGAAAAUUUUUCCUACUUGUGGAAAAGAAAGCUGUUGCAUCUGCCCAUUGGUGAAAAAAAAGUGUGAAAAAUUUUCCAACUUGUGAAAUAUGUUGCGAAUUUCUUUUUUUUUUACAGAGAGGAAGACAGUGUGAAAAUUUUCCCACAGAAGGGAAACUUUUUCACAAUUUGUGAAAUGAAUAUUCACUUUCCUGGUAAAAGUGUGAACUUUUUUCCCCUUUCAAUUUCAAAGUAUUGUACAAAUAUAUGUAUUUGGAAUGGUUAUUUUUUCUCAGUGUUGGUUUUUCACUCGCAGUUUAGUUGUAGUCUGUGUAGAAUAUGAAGGCCUACGUAUGUUUAAAUACAUGUAUUCCCUUUGGUACGUGUACAUUCAUAAGUGUUGUAUGAAAUGGAUUUUUCAAAGUAACGCUGUUAUUCCCUUUCUUGGGAAAAUUCGAAUAAUGGUUACUACAUUUUUUCGGCAAAAUAUACUGAAUUUCUUCUCAGGCAUAUGUCCACACUUUAAAUGCUGCCAAACAAGUAUGGGUCAAUGAGGGCAUACCCCUAUUGAAUUAAGAAAGUACCCUUUUGCUUCACGGAAAAGCAGGAACAAAUUAUCUCAUAAAAAUUGUGACAAGUAAAAGCUUAGUUACUACAUGCUCUUAGUUGAAACUAGUCAGUGCGACAGCUACUAAUAUAUCUUCCACAGGCGUUUUUUAUAAGAUUCACUGCACUGUGCCCGACGUCAAUGAGAGUUCUUAAUGGGUUUGAAAUAUUGUCAAAGGUUUGUAGUGAAUUGAUUAAAAAUGAGGUUUCCUGUGAACUUACUUUUUUGGGUAAAGGUCAUGCUGGACCGAUCUAUCACCUUUCUCAAGAUUGAACAGGAUAUCCUGACUGAAUGUCUCUAUACCCAAAAGUUACGGUAACUCUUAGGAGUAGUCCUGUCAAAAUUUAAUACGUCAGUUCCGGAAUUCAUUUGAACCAAAUUGAGUAAAAAUAUUGAAUGAGCUAAGUGACUUAUCCUAGACACAGCGUCUCCAAACAUUAGCAUUUUCUAAGGAAUGUGUCAUUUUGGGAUGUUUUUGAAAUGUUCGGAAGUUAAAGUGAAGUUGAUCAAGAUGUGGUCUAGAUACUGUCAUGUUAUGUCACACACAUAUUUCCAUCGGUUGGUCAUCCUUUGAAAGUCCACAAUGUGACAUAGGCUUCCGUCUGAACGUCUUUGCAUGUAAUGUAAGGCCAGGUGAUAUUGAAAAAAACACCACAUUUCUCAAGCUGGCGACGACAGUGCGAGCAGCCUUCAGAAAGAAACUAUUCGGCCAUUCAGGUUCACACCCACACGAUCAAUAUACAUAUAUUAUUGAAAAGGAUGACUGAUCCAUUACAACUCAAUUUUCGAUAGCAAAGUAGAUCCUCCAUUUUGUCAUGGCCCUGUGACAAAUCCUUUAGAAUUCUCAGUCUCGGCAAAUAGCUCAAAGAACAAUGUAAAAACGGAAUUACGGCUUCAAGUCUGCAGCUAUCACAACCAGGUUUCCUCCACGCCUCCGAUAAGCUUACAGACCGGCAGAUUUUCUCAGUUUUGUAAGUAGCCUAUGUUUAUCCAUAAUAUUUUGUUAUCUGAUUCAAUACAGGUCGAAACUAUAUUGUC